rnacentral:rRNA from 1 species
AGAGUUUGAUCAUGGCUCACGACGAACGCUGGCGGCGUGCCUAACACAUGCAAGUCGAACGAGUCCACCCUUUCGGGGGUGAGGCGAGUGGCGGACGGGUGAGUAACACGUGAGCAAUCUGUCCCUGUGCGGGGGAUAACCCGGGGAAACUCGGGCUAAUACCGCAUGGGCGAUCGGCAGGAUCUGCCGGUUGGGAAAGGUGGCCUCUUUACAAUGCUGCCGUGCAGGGAGGAGCUCGCGGGCUAUCAGCUAGUUGGUGCGGUAAUGGCGCACCAAGGCAGCGACGGCUGCGGGGUCUGAGAGGACGACCCCGCACAUUGGAACUGAGACACGGUCCAGACUCCUACGGGAGGCUGCAGUCGAGAAUCUUGGGCAAUGCACGAAAGUGUGACCCAGCGACGCCGCGUGAAGGAUGAAGGCCCUCUGGGUCGUAAACUUCUUUUAUGAGGAAAGAACGGGCUUCGGCCCUUGACGGUACCUCAUGAAUAAGCCACGGCUAACUACGUGCCAGCAGCCGCGGUAAUACGUAGGUGGCAAGCGUUGUCCGGAUUUACUGGGCGUAAAGCGAACGCAGGCGGACUUUUAAGUAGGAAGUGAAAGGUUGGAGCUCAACUCCGACACUGCUCCCUAUACUGGAAGUCUUGAGUUCUGGAGAGGAAAGCGGAACGACACGUGUAGCGGUGAAAUGCGUUGAUAUGUGUCGGAACACCGAUGGCGAAAGCAGCUUUCUGGACAGCAACUGACGCUGAGGUUCGAAAGCCAAGGGAGCGAACAGGAUUAGAUACCCUGGUAGUCUUGGCCAUAAACGAUGUUCACUAGGUGUCGGGUCUUUGAUUCGGUGCCGCUAGCUAUACGCAUUAAGUGAACCGCCUGGGAACUACGAUCGCAAGAUUAAAACUCAAAGGAAUUGGCGGGGGCCCGCACAAGCGGUGGAGCAUAUGGCUUAAUUCGAUGCAACGCGAAGAACCUUACCAGGGCUUGACAUGCAACUGCACGACGUAGAGAUACGUUUCCUUCGAGGGUGUUGCACAGGUGGUGCAUGGCUGUCGUCAGCUCGUGUCGUGAGAUGUUGGGUUAAGUCCCGCAACGAGCGCAACCCUCACCCUAUGUUGCCAUCGGUUCGGCCGGGCACUCUUAGGGAACCGCCGGCGAAGAGCUGGAGGAAGGGGGGGAUGACGUCAAGUCCGUAUGCCCCUUAUGUCCAGGGCUACACACAUGCUACAAUGGUCGGUACAGAGGGUCGCCAACCCGCGAGGGGGAGCCAAUCCCAUAACGCCGAUCUCAGUUCGGAUUGCAGGCUGCAACUCGCCUGCAUGAAGUCGGAAUCGCUAGUAAGCGCAGAUCAGCAGGCUGCGCUGAAUACGUUCCCGGGCCUUGUACACACCGCCCGUCACACCACGAAAGCCGGCUGCACCAGAAGUCGCUGUGCCAACCUCAAGGAGGCAGGCGCCGAAGGUAUGGUCGGUGAUUGGGGUGAAGUCGUAACAAGGUAGCC